AUGGCAAGAUAUUGGUGGAGUAGUUCUCUUGACCGCCGAUCAUUGCAUUGGUUGGACUGGGAUACACUUGCAACCGCGAAAGUGAAAGGGGGGAUGGGUUUCAGGAAUCUGGAGCUGUUUAACUUGUCUCUCGUGGGGAAGCAUGGAUGGAGGUUUCUUACAAAUCCGAACUCGCUGUGCGCGCGAGUGCUCAAAGGAAAGUACUUUCCUGACACUAACUUUCUCGAUGCCCGGGCACAUCGGCACGCUUCGGCUACCUGGCGUGCUAUUUUGGCAGGCAGGGAAGCUCUGAAUGUUGGCAUGAUCAAAAGAAUUGGAGAUGGUUCGACGGUCUCGAUUUGGAGAGAUCAGUGGAUACCGGGGCUGAUCGCAAUGAAGCCGUCCACUCACGUUGGUACGGCAGAUUUGAACCUUGUUUCAGAUUUGAUUGAUGCAGAAACUGGUCGUGGAAAAUCAACAUAG
rnacentral:rRNA from 1 species